GGAGUCUGGGCCGUGUCUCAGUCCCAAUGUGGCCGUUCAACCUCUCAGUCCGGCUACUGAUCGUCGACUUGGUAGGCCGUUACCCCACCAACUAUCUAAUCAGACGCGAGCCCAUCUUCAAGCGAUAAAUCUUUGAUUACAAAAUCAUGCGGUUCUGUAAUGUUAUGCGGUAUUACCAUCCGUUUCCAGAAGCUAUUCCGCUCUUGAAGGCAGGUUGCUCACGUGUUACUCACCCGUCCGCCACUAAGUUAUCCAGAGCAAGCUCCAAAUAACUCCGUUCGACUUGCAUGUGUUAAGCGUGCCGCCAGCGUUCGUCCUGAGCCAGGAUCAAACUACU
rnacentral:rRNA from 1 species